rnacentral:rRNA from 1 species
UGGGGAAUAUUGGACAAUGGGCGGAAGCCUGAUCCAGCCAUGCCGCGUGUGUGAAGAAGGCCUUUUGGUUGUAAAGCACUUUAAGCGAGGAGGAGGCUCUUCUAGUUAAUACCUAGGAUGAGUGGACGUUACUCGCAGAAUAAGCACCGGCUAACUCUGUGCCAGCAGCCGCGGUAAUACAGAGGGUGCGAGCGUUAAUCGGAUUUACUGGGCGUAAAGCGUGCGUAGGCGGCUAAUUGAGUCGGAUGUGAAAUCCCCGAGCUUAACUUGGGAAUUGCAUUAGAUACUGGUUAGCUAGAGUGUGGGAGAGGAUGGUAGAAUUCCAGGUGUAGCGGUGAAAUGCGUAGAGAUCUGGAGGAAUACCGAUGGCGAAGGCAGCCAUCUGGCCUAACACUGACGCUGAGGUACGAAAGCAUGGGGAGCAAACAGG